AAAUUGAAGAGUUUGAUCAUGGCUCAGAUUGAACGCUGGCGGCAGGCCUAACACAUGCAAGUCGAACGGUAACAGGAAGCAGCUUGCUGCUUUGCUGACGAGUGGCGGACGGGUGAGUAAUGUCUGGGAAACUGCCUGAUGGAGGGGGAUAACUACUGGAAACGGUAGCUAAUACCGCAUAACGUCGCAAGACCAAAGAGGGGGACCUUAGGGCCUCUUGCCAUCGGAUGUGCCCAGAUGGGAUUAGCUAGUAGGUGGGGUAAAGGCUCACCUAGGCGACGAUCCCUAGCUGGUCUGAGAGGAUGACCAGCCACACUGGAACUGAGACACGGUCCAGACUCCUACGGGAGGCAGCAGUGGGGAAUAUUGCACAAUGGGCGCAAGCCUGAUGCAGCCAUGCCGCGUGUAUGAAGAAGGCCUUCGGGUUGUAAAGUACUUUCAGCGGGGAGGAAGGGAGUAAAGUUAAUACCUUUGCUCAUUGACGUUACCCGCAGAAGAAGCACCGGCUAACUCCGUGCCAGCAGCCGCGGUAAUACGGAGGGUGCAAGCGUUAAUCGGAAUUACUGGGCGUAAAGCGCACGCAGGCGGUUUGUUAAGUCAGAUGUGAAAUCCCCGGGCUCAACCUGGGAACUGCAUCUGAUACUGGCAAGCUUGAGUCUCGUAGAGGGGGGUAGAAUUCCAGGUGUAGCGGUGAAAUGCGUAGAGAUCUGGAGGAAUACCGGUGGCGAAGGCGGCCCCCUGGACGAAGACUGACGCUCAGGUGCGAAAGCGUGGGGAGCAAACAGGAUUAGAUACCCUGGUAGUCCACGCCGUAAACGAUGUCGACUUGGAGGCUGUGCCCUUGAGGCGUGGCUUCCGGAGCUAACGCGUUAAGUCGACCGCCUGGGGAGUACGGCCGCAAGGUUAAAACUCAAAUGAAUUGACGGGGGCCCGCACAAGCGGUGGAGCAUGUGGUUUAAUUCGAUGCAACGCGAAGAACCUUACCUGGUCUUGACAUCCACGGAAGUUUUCAGAGAUGAGAAUGUGCCUUCGGGAACCGUGAGACAGGUGCUGCAUGGCUGUCGUCAGCUCGUGUUGUGAAAUGUUGGGUUAAGUCCCGCAACGAGCGCAACCCUUAUCCUUUGUUGCCAGCGGUCCGGCCGGGAACUCAAAGGAGACUGCCAGUGAUAAACUGGAGGAAGGUGGGGAUGACGUCAAGUCAUCAUGGCCCUUACGACCAGGGCUACACACGUGCUACAAUGGCGCAUACAAAGAGAAGCGACCUCGCGAGAGCAAGCGGACCUCAUAAAGUGCGUCGUAGUCCGGAUUGGAGUCUGCAACUCGACUCCAUGAAGUCGGAAUCGCUAGUAAUCGUGGAUCAGAAUGCCACGGUGAAUACGUUCCCGGGCCUUGUACACACCGCCCGUCACACCAUGGGAGUGGGUUGCAAAAGAAGUAGGUAGCUUAACCUUCGGGAGGGCGCUUACCACUUUGUGAUUCAUGACUGGGGUGAAGUCGUAACAAGGUAACCGUAGGGGAACCUGCGGUUGGAUCACCUCCUUA
rnacentral:rRNA from 1 species